rnacentral:rRNA from 1 species
AAGCUCGUAGUUGAAUUUCGGGAUUGACGUGAUGGUCGUGCCUUAAGGGGUAUGAACUGUCGCGGUUGAUUUCUCACCUUCUGGAGAAGCAGGAUGUCCUUAAUUGGGUGCCAUGUGGAACCAGGACCUUUACCCUUGAAGAACUUAGAGUCGUUUACAGCAGGCAUUUUGCUCGAAUACAUUAGCAUGGAAUAAUGAUUAAUAGGGAUAGUUGGG